rnacentral:tRNA from 1 species
GGAAAGAUGGUUGAGCGGUUCAAGGCAUAACAUUGGAAUUGCUAUGUAGGAUUUUUCUUACAGAGGGUUUGAAUCCCUCUCUUUCCA